rnacentral:rRNA from 1 species
UACGUAGGGUGCAAGCGUUUAAUCGGAAUUACUGGGCGUAAAGCGUGCGCAGGCGGUUUUGUAAGUCUGACGUGAAAUCCCCGGGCUCAACCUGGGAAUUGCGUUGGAGACUGCAAGGCUAGAAUCUGGCAGAGGGGGGGUAGAAUUCCACGUGUAGCAGUGAAAUGCGUAGAGAUGUGGAGGAACACCGAUGGCGAAGGCAGCCCCCUGGGUCAAGAUUGACGCUCAUGCACGAAAGGCGUGGGGAGCAAACAGG